rnacentral:rRNA from 1 species
CCUACGGUGUGCAGCAGUGGGGAAUAUUGGACAAUGGGCGAAAGCCUGAUCCAGCCAUGCCGCGUGUGUGAAGAAGGCCUUCGGGUUGUAAAGCACUUUCAGUGGGGAAGAAAGCCUUGGGGCUAAUACCCUCGAGGAAGGACAUCACCCACAGAAGAAGCACCGGCUAACUCCGUGCCAGCAGCCGCGGUAAUACGGGGGGUGCGAGCGUUAAUCGGAAUUACUGGGCGUAAAGCGCGCGUAGGCGGUCUGAUAAGCCGGUUGUGAAAGCCCCGGGCUCAACCUGGGAACGGCAUCCGGAACUGUCAGGCUAGAGUGCAGGAGAGGAAGGUAGAAUUCCCGGUGUAGCGGUGAAAUGCGUAGAGAUCGGGAGGAAUACCAGUGGCGAAGGCGGCCUUCUGGACUGACACUGACGCUGAGGUGCGAAAGCGUGGGUAGCAAACAGGAUUAGAUACCCUGGUAGUC